rnacentral:rRNA from 1 species
AUUGAACGCUGGCGGCAGGCCUAACACAUGCAAGUCGAACGGUAGCACAGAGAGCUUGCUCCUGGGUGACGAGCGGCGGACGGGUGAGUAAUGUCUGGGAAACUGCCUGAUGGAGGGGGAUAACUACUGGAAACGGUAGCUAAUACCGCAUAACGUCGCAAGACCAAAGAGGGGGAACUUCGGGCGUCUUGCCAUCAGAUGUGCCCAGAUGGGAUUAGCUAGUAGGUGGGGUAACGGCUCACCUAGGCGACGAUCCCUAGCGGGUCGGAGAGGAUGAACAGCCACACUGGAACUGAGACACGGUCCAGACUCCUACGGGAGGCAGCAGUGGGGAAUAUUGCACAAUGGGCGCAAGCCUGAUGCAGCCAUGCCGCGUGUAUGAAGAAGGCCUUCGGGUUGUAAAGUACUUUCAGCGGGGAGGAAGGCGAUAAGGUUAAUAACCUUGUCGAUUGACGUUACCCGCAGAAGAAGCACCGGCUAACUCCGUGCCAGCAGCCGCCGUAA